CCUGACCUGAAGUGGACGACAUUUGGUUAAGUCUUAAAAAGGUGAAGCACGUGACACAUUCUGAAAUAAAUCUACAUCCAGACCCAGAGUAUUUCUGACCAGAGGUCAGCACAUAUUUGAUAUGUUUCCCCUAACUCUUAGCUUACCAAUUGCUUUGCUGCGACACCACUUCAAAGACUGGGAGAUGUACGGCAGGAAGAUAACAAUCGCCAACAGCACGUAAGACUGAAAGACAAAGUGAAAAUGUCACUGCGAAGAAGAGAUUUACAGCAUCAGCAGUUCGGAGCUGAAGAAAAUAAACGCCACCUACCAGCUGUAAGAAGAUGAGGGAGAAGAUGCUGGCGAACAUGCACAUGAGGGGAACCCGCAUGAUGACUUUGAGGAUGUGGUGUUUGUAGAAGGUUUGGUUCUCUGAUAUCUGGAUCUGUUCGUUCAGCAGGAAGGGACGGCUGAAGGCGUACAGCACAAUCACCGACUGCGAAAAAACAACACAAAGGAUUAUGAUGUAUGUGAUUACACAGGAUGGAAAUAAGUAAGACGUAAAUAAGAGGUCGUUCCACUAGAAAAAACAAAAGCAAGAACAACAUUUUUUUUUUUUUUUUGAGGUUUGAGAGGAUUUAUGUAUGAAUUCUCCAAAAGGACUGGAAUAAAAACACUUUAACAUAAACACCUGAAUGACGCCCAUCACCAUCACACAACCACAGAAGAGUAAAAUCCCGAGGAGGUUCGUAGGGAAGGUCGCCAUCAGAGAGAACUGCGCAGAUAAGGCACACCGUACGUUAGAGAGCACGAAUGAAUCAGUCAACUUAACAUUUAUUUGUGCAGCAAACUGUGUGAUUUAUUCAGCUGCUGAUUAGCACCGCAGAGACUCAUACUCACUGUGUACGGCAGAAAGGUUAUCAGCAUCAUGCAGGCCUGAAAUAGAACCGAAAGCAGAACUUCACAUUAGAAAGAAGGAAACAGCUCACCAGAGAAAUUACUUUUUUCUUUCAGUAUGGAAGUAUUCAUUAUUUGUCUAUAAAACCAGUUACCAACA